GCCUCAUUUAUGAGAGAACACAGUUCUGC
rnacentral:piRNA from 1 species